rnacentral:rRNA from 1 species
GACGAACGCUGGCGGCGUGCUUAACACAUGCAAGUCGAACGGAAAGGCCCCGCUUGCAGGGUACUCGAGUGGCGAACGGGUGAGUAACACGUGGGUGAUCUGCCCUGCACUUCGGGAUAAGCUUGGGAAACUGGGUCUAAUACCGGAUAGGAGCCAUCUUUAGUGUGGUGGUUGGAAAGUUUUUUCGGUGUAGGAUGAGCUCGCGGCCUAUCAGCUUGUUGGUGGGGUAAUGGCCUACCAAGGCGGCGACGGGUAGCCGGCCUGAGAGGGUGUACGGCCACAUUGGGACUGAGAUACGGCCCAGACUCCUACGGGAGGCAGCAGUGGGGAAUAUUGCACAAUGGGCGCAAGCCUGAUGCAGCGACGCCGCGUGGGGGAUGAAGGCCUUCGGGUUGUAAACUCCUUUCGCUAGGGACGAAGCUUUGUUGUGACGGUACCUAGAGAAGAAGCACCGGCUAACUACGUG